ensembl:lncRNA
AAAAAGUUGAGACUUCAUUUUGAAUAAAACAGAGCAGCUGACCUGGGAAAUAAAGGCAAAAAGAAACAGCCUUCUAAAACUUAAAAGGAAAGUGUUUUCUGAUAUGACUUUUGGGCUAGGACUUUCUUCUUCCUCAGCCUUUGAAGAGACCAAAGUCCACGACUAGGAAUCCACAGACGCAACGGUAGGACACGCAACGCUCGCUUGCGUUCCCUCAGUGGAACUAACACCACGUUCGCGAUCAGAAACGCUUGUUCUCCACGCGAACAGAAAGUUAAAGACGGAAGUCAUUAAAGAAAGGCACCCANNNNNNNNNNNNNNNNNNNNNNNNNNNNNNNNNNNNNNNNNGCUCUUCCCAUGUAACGCCUUUCGCAGCAGCAGUGGCGAGACAGUCUCAUCAGGUUACGAAACAGUCUGCUCUCACCAGCACCUCGCACUGCCACACGGCCUUAACUCAUCAUCAAACCAAGUUUCUCCAGUGGCUGCAGAAAUUAGAUUCCUCACAGAUAAAGAGCAGAUGCUGUACCUAGGAAGAUUUUUAAAAGCCCACAUUUGAUGCCUUGACAUUUGCGUUGUAUUUCACUGAGGCACGAAGCAGAAGUGGAAUCACUAAAACCCAGCAAGUCCAGAAAUACUGACUUCAUCUUUCUGGAGCUCAGGAAUCCAAAUGCUGAAAAUCUGAGUUUCUUCUGCAGACAGCAGCAUCACAGACAGGAGAAUUACUAGCCAUCUACCUUGAUCCUCAUUUUCUCCACACUGACCAGUGAUAAACAUAGUGAAGUGCGAGCCUCAGAGCUGCUCCAGAAUAAGCAGAAUAACCCCACUGUAGGGUUGCAUCAUUCCCAGAGAGACUUUACUCACAGUACAAACCACGCAAGCAAAACUCAAGUCCUUUGCUACCUCCAGGAUCCCAAGACUCAAUCCCACCUCUUAUACACAAGUCUGCUUGCUGCCUCUUAACGUUGUUGACAUUUUAUGACCAUCUCUGAAGAUAUCCUCUCUCCCAGACACAAGCUCCCAUGAAUAGGCUCCCUUAUCUGAAAUGUUUGGUCCUGCAUAAGCUCACUAAGGUUUGACCUUCCCUCUCCAGUCAGAGAGCCAGCACUCAGCAUCAUAGUCCUCCUCAUCUCAUACCCCGAUUAUUGCAACCUCUUCUUUCCUCUUAAUGAAAGUCUGACUUGCUUCUACUCCAGACAGCACCACAGCAACUGAAAUAGGAAAAAAUAAUCACAUUGCUCUUCUCCUGCUCUCCCUUCUUCCAAGUGUUUCAAAGGUCUUUCUCUGCUUGACUUUGACAUAUAUUUAUAUGUACUUUGACUUUGCUCUGAAUAUAUACAGGGCUCUGCCUCUCAGUCACUGCAGCCCUCAUCUCAUUUCCUAAAAAAGCACCUUUGCAUUCUUUCCUAUACCAGGAUAAGGCUGGAGAGGAGCCCCCUCUGCACGCUCCCGCUGCUCUAAUACCUGUGGGACCACAGCCAGUCCUCACUGGCUAUGCCCACAUCAGCAAGUAGAGCAGACCCAUGGAGAAGCUGACUCUCGUAAUACACGUGUUGGGG